rnacentral:rRNA from 1 species
AUUGAACGCUGGCGGCGGGCCUAACACAUGCAAGUCGAGCGAGCGGCGGACGGGUGAGUAAUGUCUGGGAAACUGCCUGAUGGAGGGGGAUAACUACUGGAAACGGUAGCUAAUACCGCAUACCAUCAGAUGGGCCCAGAUGGGAUUAGCUGGUAGGUGGGGUAAUGGCUCACCUAGGCGACGAACCCUAGCUGGGCGGAGAGGAGGACCAGCCACCCGGGAACGUAGACACGUUCAAGAAGCCUACGAGAGGAAGCAGUGGGGAAUAUGGAACAAUGGGCGCAAGCCUGAUACAGCGAUGGCGCGUGUAUGAAGAAGGCAUUGGGGGUGUAAAGUACUUUCAGGGGGGAGGCGUUAGCCGCAGAAGAAGCACCGGCUAACUCCGUGCCAGCAGCCGCGGUAAUUC